AUGGCCUUGGUCAAGGCGCUCCUUACGGCGGUGGCCAUCUACCACAUCACCCCAUUGGAGAUCCCGGUGGAGGUGCUACAGAAAUUGAACAGCCCGCGGAGAGCCUACCUUUGGGCUGCAAUUGACACCCUGUCUGGUGGCAAAUGAAAAAUUAACCGGGAGCACGUCUGCAGGCCUAAGCAAUUUGGGGGCCUAGGAAUCCCGAAUCUGAAAAGGUUUGCCACCGCUCUCCGCCUUAGAUGGUUAUGGCUGGAGCGGGAUGAACCGCCAAGAGCAUGGUGUGGUACUUAA
rnacentral:rRNA from 1 species